AGUUGUGACAGCCAGGAAACCGAGAACGGAAUGCCAAUACUGCUUAGGCUUAGAGUUUGAAAGGCAUCUGAUUUCACUGCCAUGUCUUUGAACAGCAGUGCACAGUGCAGUCUUCUUCGUGGCUGAACAGCCACUCGAUGUCUUUUGAUUGGAGAGUUUAAUCAAACAGAAGGAGUCUUCCAUUGUGGCCACCACAGCUGGGAAUGAGCUAAGGUCUUGCUAUGUUGCCUAGACUGGUUUUGAACUCCUGGGCUGAAGCAAUCCUCCCACUUCGGCCUCUCAAAGUGCUGGGAUAUCAGACAUGAGCCACCUGCCAUGCUUGGCCUAUCUGCCUAGGAAUAGCCAGGCAACCAGCUGCUACUUUGAGCACCCGGCUAAAAUAAGCAGAGACAACUGGAAGGCUUGAUGUGAAAAAGAGCUGUUGAAGUGUACACAAGCAAGCUGACUGCCUUAUGACUAAUACUUGACAGAACCCAGCAAGAGGAUAUGAGAUUGCAGAUGGAUGACCUCAAUCCUGAACAGAAAGGCGUGCAUGAUAAUGGAGAGAAAAAAGCCAAUGGGGAAAAAAAACCCACCACUAUUUUUUUAAUAGCCUAACACACACACAAAAAACUGGUUUUCCUUUUUCUGUAAUGUGUCUGUAGAGCUGGCUAUUCUGAUUAAAGUUGCCCUUGAAAAAGCAA
ensembl:lncRNA PPM1K-DT PPM1K divergent transcript